ACGUCGGGACCAAGCGCGCUCUCAUUGGCUGCAGUGGAUAGAGUCAACCAUGCUCAGUUGCGUCGUAGUGUCAUGGGAUUGGCUGUCGCUGGUUGGAUCCUUUUUCUACACCCCUCCCCCGGGGAGCACUUUCGCUGGGAUUAAGCGAGAGGUCGCGGCGGAAAAGCCCUGGCCGAACGAGAUUUAGGGCGGGGGAGGAGUCGAGUCGGAGCGCGCAUGCGUAGUUGGGUCAGCACCGCCUCUCCGCCCCUAGCUUCACGGUCGACCCCCGGUCCGGCACGGAAGCGCCAAGUGACGUCAAUCCUCGAUUGCCAUGGUAACCCGGAACCGGCGAGGGGGGAGGGGCUGGCGCGCGCCCGUGAAGCGGGUCCGUUGACGCCGCAGAUGAGAAAACUGAGCCACAAAAAGCUGAACUACCCACGGCAAGGUCUCACAGUCUGCCAGGAUAGUCUGCUGGUGCAAGACUCCUCUGUGGACAGAACAGGGUUGGAAUGCAGACCGUGCUGCUCUCUGGCUGAGGACCACUGAGCCAACUUCCCAUUUUUGAGGCAAGUUGCAGUCCUAUGGGGCCAGCCAUCCUCCAGCUGGCAGCUAGGGAAGGCAUUUAAUCUCUCCAUGCCUCAGUUGGUCUGUAGAAGACUAAUAUUAACGCUAGUCUGCAGGGUACUGUGCUGAUUCAAUGAGAUGAGAGGGCACGUUGGUUUUAACGGGGCAUCUCCUGAGCUGCAGGCGCAAGAAUUACACACAGAUAUCAGAUGCAGAUGCCUCCUGAUCUUAUACAAGGGUGCGGUACAAUAAAAAAUAUAUGUCUGGUCUUUGUCCGCAGAUCCUGGCACAGAGCUUCAGAAACCCUUGGGAUUUCCUAAGCGAUAGGAGUGUCUUUCAUUUUUCCUGAGGAGCUCCUCUGGCCCAUACCUGAGGUUAGCUAACAGGGUGACUCAUUGCCAGCUCUGAGGGCCCAGUGACAGCUUCAGGAUGCUGGCUGGUCACCAGAAAAACCAGCCAACUUUCAGCCCCACCCCCCACUUCAGGGGCUGGAGAUUGCAUUCAGUCACACGGCCAGUGAUUUAAUCAACAGUGCCUGUGUAAUAAAACCUCAAUAAAAACUCUGAACUGUGAGAUUCGGAGAGCUUCCGGGUUGGUGAACAUAUUGAUGUGACAGGAGGGUGGUGUCCCCUGACUCCACAGGGACAGAAGCUCCUGGGCUCAGGACCCUUUCAGACCUUGCUGCCCUCUGCCUCUCCUCAUCUAGCUGUUUAUUUGUAUCCUUUAUAUUAAAACGGUAAGCAUAAUAUAGCA